AACGAACGCUGGCGGCAUGCCUAACACAUGCAAGUCGAACGGAUGCAGCAAUGCAUCAGUGGCAGAUGGGUGAGUAACACGUGGGAAUCUACCCAGUAGCCUGGAAUAACCGCGGGGAACUGCGGCUAAUACCGGAUACGCCCCUCGGGGGAAAGGAGCAAUCCACUAUUGGAGGAGCCCGCGUCCGAUUAGCUAGUUGGUGAGGUAACGGCUCACCAAGGCGAUGAUCGGUAGCUGGUUUGAGAGAACGACCAGCCACACGGGGACUGAGACACGGCCCAGCCUCCUACGGGAGGCAGCGGUGGGGAAUAUUGGACAAUGGGGGAAACCCUGAUCCAGCGAUGCCGCGUGGGUGAUGAAGGCCUUCGGGUUGUAAAGCCCUUUUGGCGGGGACGAUGAUGACGGUACCCGCAGAAGAAGCCCCGGCUAACUUCGUGCCAGCCGCCGCGGUAA
rnacentral:rRNA from 1 species